rnacentral:rRNA from 1 species
GUAGGGAUACCCGCUGAACUUAAGCAUAUCAAUAAGCGGAGGAAAAGAAACCAACAGGGAUUGCCUCAGUAACUGCGAGUGAAGCGGCAAAAGCUCAAAUUUGAAAUCUGGCGUCUUUGGCGUCCGAGUUGUAAUUUGGAGAGGCAUCUUCGGAGAUGGCGCUGUCCUAAGUUCCUUGGAACAGGACAUCACAGAGGGUGAGAAUCCCGUGCCUGGAUGGCUGUCCAUCUCCAUGUGAAGAGUCUUCGACGAGUCGAGUUGUUUGGGAAUGCAGCUCAAAAUGGGUGGUAAAUUUCAUCUAAAGCUAAAUAUUGGCGAGAGACCGAUAGCGCACAAGUAGAGUGAUCGAAAGAUGAAAAGCACUUUGAAAAGAGAGUUAAAAAGUACGUGAAAUUGUUGAAAGGGAAGCGCUUGAGACCAGACUCAAUCUUUGGUGAUCAGCUGUGCUUCUGCGCAGUGCACUUGCUAUUGAUUGGGCCAGCAUCGGUUCCGACGGUGGGAUAAAAGGCGGAGGAAUGUAGCUUCCUUCGGGGAGUGUUAUAGCCUCCGUCACAAUGCCAUCAGUUGGGACCGAGGACCGC